UGUGGGAAGGACGGACAGGGAAACUACAUGAAGUGCGAAAAAAAGGUUUGAGUGGGAAACAAUGUCCUCUUGUAAACCUUCAAUAACAUGGCAUAGUAGUUCCAAUUCAACUUUGCCUGUUCAUAGUUAUAAAGUGUUGAGAUAUUAUAGCAUAGACCGGUGGUGGUCACACCUGAUCCUGGAGUUAAAUCAGGUGUGUUUUUUAUUUUUAAUAUGCCCUCAUCCAAUGAAGACGUUUAGAUAAAGUACGAUGCUUAGUCAUUUACAUCCACAAAGCCAUUAAUCGUACCUGUAAUCUUCUUAUUGUCUUUGUUUUCCCCGUGGAUGCAUUGUUGCGUGUGUGCCUAUGCGUCCCGUCUGUCCGUCCUUCCAUCCGCCGUCCAUCUGUCUGUGUGUCUGCGUCUGCCGUGCGUGUGUCCGUCAUUCGAUCAUGUGCGCUGUGCGUCGAUCCCCAGCGACGCCAAGUGCGGGAAGAUCCAGUGCCACAGCGCGGCCAGAAGCCGAAGGGCACCAACGCAGUGUCCAUAGACACCACCAUCCGUACGGACGGCAUGGAGGUGAAGUGCAGGGGGACAUAUGUCUAUACCACCCAGGAUGGACAAGGGGACCUCCCUGACCCGGGCCUCGUCAUGACCGGCACCAAGUGUGGAGAGGGGAAGGUGUGCAGGGACCGCCGGUGCCAAACGCCUCUUUCACCGAGCUGGAGAGCUGCAUCGCUCACUGUCAUGGCCAUGGGGUGUGCAACAGCAAUGGCAGCUGUCACUGUAACCGAGGGGUGGG